ensembl:lncRNA
GGAGAGUAUGGGUAUUGGAGUCCCCUCAUGUCCAGUGGCAAGCCUGGAGGCAGCAAGGAUGCAGCAAGAGCCCCUGUCUCCCAGCUCCAGUACCAGGGCUGUGCUCCUGGAGGAACCAGCACGAGGAAGGCCUCCCAGGAGCCCUCGGGUGGAGGCCAUGCUGCGGGAACUGGGAGAGUUAUGGGAGGACCUGCAGAGGAGGCAUCAGGAGAAUGGCAUAGUGCUGCAAGAAAUCGAUAAGGCACUGAGGCUGGUGGGAGAGCUGGACCAAGCUGAGCGGUGGCUGCAAGACGUGGCUGGGUCACUCUUGGAACCAGCCGCCAUGAGAAGCCCGGCAGAGCUGCGCCGGGACCUGGAAGAACUGAGCCAGCUGGAGAAGCAGCUCCUGCUCUGUGGCCUCAAGCUGCAGGCACUGCGGGAAGAAGCAGCAGGCGAGUCGCCCACUGAGCACGAGGGGGCAAGGAAGAUGCAGAGGAAAGUGGAGAUGAUGGAGGAGAAGUUGGCACAUGUGCAGGCGACCCUACGGCACAGGGCAGCAGAUCUGUGUGACUCCCUGGUGCUGUCUGAGUUCCUGCAGGACCUGCAAGAGGAGGAGGCACGGAGCCAGCAGGGAUCUGCAGUGGCAGGCAGUGGGCGUUGUGGCUCGCAGGGGUGUUUUCCCCUGCUCUCAGCCCAGACUGAGAAGUCUCCAAGCAGUGAGGACAUGAGGCGCCCCUUGGGAGAGCUGCAGGAGGCCGUGGAGAUGCUGAAUGACGCAGCGAAGGAGCGGGAGAGGGUCAUGGAGGUGGCAGUGGAGACGGAGAGCCUGGAGCGUCUGGUGGCGAAGAUAUCCCCACAGCUGGAGGCCCUUCAGUGCAGAGCCAAGGCUCUGUCUCAGGACAUUGCCCUAGCAGAGAAGAGCUUCACCACGGUGAAGAGUGAGAAGGACCUGCAAGGGCUGCAGGACUUGCUAAGCUGCCAGCAGGAGAUGGAGCAAGCAGUGUCACAGACCCUGCAAGGGCAGCUGGAGGAGCUGGAGAGGGCAGCUGCCCGCGUGCAAGAGCUGUGCCCCGCUCGGCAGUGCCCCAUCAGCUGGGAGCUGCAGGAGACUCUGUGGGCCUGGGCAGGGCUGCGAGAGCUACUGCGGGAGACCCGGCUCCGCGUGCAGCAGGCCAGCCAGCUCCGGCACUUCUUCAAGGAUUAUUUAGCCAUGAUCUCCUGGACUGAGGACACACGGGCUCAGAUCUUCUCUGAAAGCCCAAGCAGCUCCAGUAUCCCGGAGACUCCAUGUGAGGAACUGGAGAGCAGAAUUGAAGAGAAACUCAAGGAGUUUGAGGCACUAGCAGCAGCAGGGCAGCAGCUGGUGUCUGAGGAGCACUACCUGAGUGCAACAAUAAAGGAGCGCUUGGAAGAGCUGCAGAGCAUGCUGGGCUGGGUGCUGGUGCGGUGGCGAGCACAGAGGCAUCAGCAGCAGGAUCUGGGGAGCAGACAGGACAAGAGGGAGCUGGAGAACCUCUCAAGCACAUCCCCCACUGGUCAAGAGCAGCAUGCCUCACAUGUUCCACCCCACCUGGAAAGCAUCCACAGCCCAGUGAAGUUCAUGCCCUCCUCCCUCCUCGAACCUGUGCAAAGAUUAGAGCCAAAGCUUCCAGAGAAAACAGCCAUCUCCCCACCCACGUCACCCCUCUCAGAUGCCCCAUCAGGAGUGGAGCAGAGCUGGGGGGAGCCCAGCAGCAAAACACCCCAUGAUGCGGAAUCCCAGCAGGCUGCCACCUGGGAUCCUGCUGAGACUUCCACGCUGCUGCUGCCACCACGGGGCCCCUGUGGUCUCAGGGGGACGGUCAGCCUCAUCCUCAGCAUUGGCAAGAAGGGCGAGAAGAAGAAGGCACAGCUGCUGGCCAGCAGCGAGCGGCCAGGGGAGGAGGCACUGCCAACGCUCCCCACCACUAUACACUCAGGCUGUAAAACCUUUUGGAAGCGUUGCCAGGGGCUUUUAGGAAACACUUGGGAUAGCUUAAAGCAAAAAAGAAAGCCACCCCAUCAGCCACCUCACCAGCUGGUGGAAGAGGUGCAGGUGGAGGCCAGGAAAACCUGCAGCGCAAAGCGGCUGCCCGCUGUUGUCCGCCGCCCUCCAGCAUCCAGCGGCGGGAUGCAGGCUGUGUCCCACACCCUGCCCAAGGCCGGGGCUGGCUGUCUCUUCAACAGCCUGCAGCGGCGGGAGCAGGCCAGGGCGGAGCAGGCCCAGCUGCUGACUCUCCGGGGCAUCAUGGGGGACAGCUCCCUGCGGCCCACGCCUGAGAAAUGCCGUGGCCCCAGCAACACCUGGCCCCACAAGUGUGGUUGGAGGAAGGGGGGGUCAGGGGCAGCUGCUGCUGGACCUCAGCUUGGGGAGCUGCUCCUCUACGUCAGGAACCCGCUGGUGCAGGACAUCGAUGCCGAGUGCGGGGCAGCCCCUCAGAAUCCCUGCCUCCCUAACCCAAAAAUCACAUGCCCCCGUGUUUCCCUGGGCUCUGUGCUCAGCCUGGAGCUGCCACGGGAUGCAGUGGUCCUGGGGUGCCACCGAGGGGCUGCGGCAGGCCAGCAGGAGGCAGAGGGGCAGGAGCAGAGGCAGGAUGAAGGGGUGAGGCCUUGGAGGCCCACAGGCACACAUGGAGUUGGAUGGCAGGAAGAUGGGCACGAUCCCCAGGGGCCCAGCAAGAGGCUGGGGAUGUCGCCCAAGAGCGAGCAAGAAACGUGGUUCAAGGAGGUGAGCUUCGACCCCAGCUACAGCCAACAAAGAGCACACUGUGCUGGGAAGGAGCACUGGAACCUGCAGCACCCCAGCAGCACCAGUAAAGACCUUCUGGACUUGAGGCCGAGCCAGCCAUCCCAUGUCGGUAUGGGGGAUGAGCUGGACACCCGCUUUGGCCAGGACGACAGCCCCACUGCCACUGGCAGGGCCAGGCAUCUCAGAGCCGCUUGGCUAGAGCUUGGAUCGUCCCCUGCCUGUACACAGCAGCCGGCCAGCAGCAGCCAGCCCAGAGGGUCCCCAGCUUCCCCUGCCGCCCCCAGCCAGCUCUCUGUCUUUGAGUGGGCACUGGGGUCUCCACAUCCCCAGAGCCCUGCACAGGUAACUAAGGAAGUUUGCCACCCUGCCCACAGGCAGUUUGAGGAAGAGGAGGAGGAGCUGCAGGCCAUCUGGGAUGGAGCACACGAACAACAGGCACAGAGCUCACCAGGAGACAGCUGUGCCAGCCACCAGACGGGCAGCAGGGCAGGCAGCUUGCCCAGCCCCAGUGCCACUACUGGCGGGCCCCUCAUCCUGUCAUCAGCCAACAAUGUGCUAGUAGCCAAAUUCACCCUUCCCACCGCUGCCCAGCUGCUCCACAGCCCAUCAGGAGAGAAGAGCCCCGGGGUGGUGCGCAGUGGCAGUCCCAGUGGGCUCAGGAUUUCCCCCUACUCGGAGGAGCUGGUGUCUGCAGCCCCCUUGGAUGCCUCCAGCGCCUGGGAUCGGCAGAGGCAUCGGCAAGAGGAGAGAAAGAGCAGCAAGGUCCUGCCUGCUAAAAUGGAAUUUCAGAUGAUGGAGGGGACGCUGGAAAGGAAGCACGUAUUGCAGACAGGAGGGAGAAAGGCCAGCUGCCGGGCCUGGGGCCUCUUUCACGCUGUGCUGAUGAGGCAGACACUGUGCUUCUACCAGGACCGCAGGGACAGCCUCAAGAGCUCCGUGGUGGCCCUUCCCUUGAACCUCUCCGGGGCAGUCUGCACCCCAGAUGCUGAAUACACCAAGAAGACCAACUGCUUCAGGCUUCAGCUGCAGGAUGGCUCUGAAUACCUCCUGAGGGCCCCCACCCAGGCCCUCAUGAAUGAAUGGGUCUCAAAGCUGCAGCAAAACUCAGGUUUCCCCAAAGUGGAUUACUUCCAGGCAGCAGCACAGCAUGUCAAGAGCACUGGUGGUACUGGCAGCAAGGUCUCCAGCCCUGGGACCUCCCACCUCCAGGGACAUCAUCAGGUCACGACCACCAAGAGCCAGGAGAUUGUGGUGUUACCCUGCGCAAGCCCACUAUUGCAGCAGCCUCUGGGCAGCCAGGAUGGCCCAGUCGAUGGGACUGUGACAGCAGCAGAGAAUACUCAGGGGACUGGGCACAAGGAGCAGCAGUGGUCAUCCAGGGCAUCCCCCGGGCUGUGGGACAACAUCUGCCUAGAGGAUGACUAUGGGCUGGUGGCCAACAAAAGGAGGUCCUACUCCUUCACCUCAGCCACCUACCAGAAGAUCACCCCGCUGGCGGUGCCCAAGGAGCCGGUGGAGGCCGGGAGCAGUUACUCCGUCACAUUGUACAUAGGGGAGCAGGUGUCGGCCAUGCCCCGGGCACGCUGUCACUCCUUCGUGGCCCAAACAGGGAGCCCCCGGGACACACGAGGGGAGAAGACCACUAGCCCCCCUCGCACCAAGAACAAAUCUGUCUUCAAGAAGUUCUUUGGGAAAAAAGAGUGAGCCCCAGACAAAUGGAGAAAAUGCCCCAAUCUGCCUCUUGGGCCAUUCUGGCUUGAUCUCUACUCCCAGCACCAGUUCAUGGCUUACUGCCUCCCCAGGGGCAAGAGGCUGUAUCAAGUGGCUCUGUAUCAGCCAGCCCCAGGUCUGCCCUGUGCCCCAGGCACUGCAGCCCCCAGCCUCAGCCUGGUGCUGAGCACCCCUCCUGCCCAGUGCUCUCCCUGGGUGCUGCUGGCUCCCCAGGCAUCCUAAUGACACACAGCACAAGCAGAGGGCAUGGAUGAUGGUUUUUAUUAAAAGAUAA